GACAGAGGGUGCAAACGUUGCUCGGAAUUACUGGGCGUAAAGGGCGCGUAGGCGGAUUUGGAAGUCGGGUGUGAAAUCCCUGGGCUCAACCUAGGAACUGCAUUCGAAACUCCAAGUCUAGAGUGACGGAGAGGAAAGCGGAAUUCCCGGUGUAGAGGUGAAAUUCGUAGAUAUCGGGAGGAACACCAGAGGCGAAGGCGGCUUUCUGGACGUCUACUGACGCUGAGGCGCGAAAGCGUGGGGAGCAAACAGUAUUAGAUACCCGGGUAGUCUCUGAG
rnacentral:rRNA from 1 species